AGAGUAAGCGUAGGCGAUUACGGACUCGAUGAGUCUGAGGAAAGUCCGGGCUCCCGAAAGACCAAACUUGCUGGGUAACGCCCAGUGCGAGCGAUCGUGAGGAUAGUGCCACAGAAAAAUACCGCCUUCGGGUAAGGGUGCAAAGGUGUGGUAAGAGCGCACCAGCAACGUCGUGAGGCGUUGGCUCGGUAAACCCCGGUUGGGAGCAAGGUCGGAGAAACUAGGGUUGGUCUUUUCCCCGUUUCGUUGAAUAGUGGUACCGCUAGAGGUGUCUGGUAACAGCCAUCCCAGAUAGAUAAUCGCCGUUGGUGUGCUAAUUGCCACCAAUAACAGAACCCGGCUUAUGUCUAACUCUUUCU
rnacentral:RNase_P_RNA from 1 species